rnacentral:rRNA from 1 species
UACGUAGGGUGCAAGCGUUGUCCGGAAUUAUUGGGCGUAAAGAGCUCGUAGGCGGUUUGUCGCGUCUGCUGUGAAAACCCGAGGCUCAACCUCGGGCCUGCAGUGGGUACGGGCAGACUAGAGUGGCGGUAGGGGAGAUUGGAAUUCCUGGUGUAGCGGUGGAAUGCGCAGAUAUCAGGAGGAACACCAAUGGCGAAGGCGGCUCUCUGGGGACGGUACUGACGCUGAGACGCGAAAGCGUGGGGAGCGAACAGG